AUUGAACGCUGGCGGCAGGCUUAACACAUGCAAGUCGAGCGGGGUGAUGGUGCUUGCACUAUCACUUAGCGGCGGACGGGUGAGUAAUGCUUAGGAAUCUGCCUAUUAGUGGGGGACAACAUCUCGAAAGGGAUGCUAAUACCGCAUACGUCCUACGAGAGAAAGCAGGGGAUCACUUGUGACCUUGCGCUAAUAGAUGAGCAUAAGUCGGAUUAGCUAGUUGGUGGGGUAAAGGCCUACCAAGGCGACGAUCUGUAGCGGGUCUGAGAGGAUGAUCCGCCACACUGGGACUGAGACACGGCCCAGACUCCGACGGGAGGCAGCAGUGGGGAAUAUUGGACAAGGGGGGGAACCCUGAUCCAGCCAUGCCGCGUGUGUGAAGAAGGCCUUAUGGUUGUAAAGCACUUUAAGCGAGGAGGAGGCUCUUUUGGUUAAUACCCAAGAUGAGUGGACGUUACUCGCAGAAUAAGCACCGGCUAACUCUGUGCCAGCAGCCGCCGUAA
rnacentral:rRNA from 1 species